rnacentral:lncRNA from 1 species
UGAACGGAGGUGAUUGAGAGAAGGGAUGAAACAGUGAAGAAUGUAGAAGGAUUCUUAGUUUUCAUUAAUGGUGCAACUGCACUGUAUAUACAAAGCCAAAAGUGGCAGAAAUGUAAAAUCCUUAACUAUAUUACAAGAAUGCUAACUAACUCUGUACUAUGUCCUAAUCCAUAUGUGCUGAGUCAUGUUUCCAGCUCAUCCUCCUCACUGUCACCUAGCGGAGGUCUCUUAUCCGUUGAUAGUAGUUUCCGUUACCGUCGAAUAUGUAAGCUUUCUGUCUCACCAUACCAGGGAGACGAGAUCGUGGACGGGGUUCAUUCAAUGGGGUUUCUUCAGUUGGUUCUGGAGAAAUUUCGUCUACCUGAUCAUCCCCAUUAGAAACGACAUUGUUUUCCCUCAUCUCCAUCAAGUUCUUCAAGAAUUAAUACUCUGCAAACUAAUGUCUAAGAAACAAUGAACAAAGGACUGCAGAGCAUCGACAUGAACAAAGGAAUGCAGAGCAAAACAGGGAGGAAAAAUUUGAGGAAUGAUUAGAAUACCCACGUGGAAUGAUGAAGGAUGGAUUUGAACAGCAACCAUUCAAGCAAUUUCUUGAUGGAGGGGAAGAUUUGAUCUUUGAAGCUAUCUGUCUGGCGAAUUGGUAAGGUUU